rnacentral:piRNA from 1 species
UUUCGAAUCAACAACAGCCUUAGGCAAU